UGUCAUGGAUAUGCUCUUC
rnacentral:miRNA from 1 species